AGUGAACGCUGGCGGUAGGCCUAACACAUGCAAGUCGAACGGCAGCACAGUAAGAGCUUGCUCUUACGGGUGGCGAGUGGCGGACGGGUGAGGAAUACAUCGGAAUCUACUUUUUCGUGGGGGAUAACGUAGGGAAACUUACGCUAAUACCGCAUACGACCUACGGGUGAAAGCAGGGGAUCUUCGGACCUUGCGCGAUUGAAUGAGCCGAUGUCGGAUUAGCUAGUUGGCGGGGUAAAGGCCCACCAAGGCGACGAUCCGUAGCUGGUCUGAGAGGAUGAUCAGCCACACUGUCACUGAGGCACGGUCGAGACUCCUACGGGAGGCCGCAGUGGGGAAUAUUGGACAAGGGGCGCAAGCCUGAUCCAGCCAUACCGCGUGGGUGAAGAAGGCCUUCUGGUUGUAAAGCCCUUUUGUUGGGAAAGAAAAGCAGCAGGUUAAUACCCCGCUGUUCUGACGGUACCCAAAGAAUAAGCACCGGCUAACUUCGUG
rnacentral:rRNA from 1 species